GGAGGCUCGGGUUCGAUUCCCGGUAUCG
rnacentral:sRNA from 1 species